GUGGGGAAUCUUGCGCAAUGGGCGAAAGCCUGACGCAGCCAUGCCGCGUGAAUGAUGAAGGUCUUAGGAUUGUAAAAUUCUUUCACCGGGGACGAUAAUGACGGUACCCGGAGAAGAAGCUCCGGCUAACUUCGUGCCAGCAGCCGCGGUAAUACGAAGGGGGCUAGCGUUGCUCGGAAUUACUGGGCGUAAAGGGCGCGUAGGCGGACAGCUUAGUCAGAGGUGAAAGCCCAGGGCUCAACCUUGGAAUUGCCUUUGAUACUGGCUGUCUUGAGUUUGGGAGAGGUGAGUGGAACUCCGAGUGUAGAGGUGAAAUUCGUAGAUAUUCGGAAGAACACCAGUGGCGAAGGCGGCUCACUGGACCGUAGUUGACGCUGAGGUGCGAAAGCGUGGGGAGCAAACAGGAUUAGAUACCCUUGUAGUCC
rnacentral:rRNA from 1 species